rnacentral:tRNA from 1 species
GCCUCUGUGGCGCAAUUGGCUAGCGCGUUCGGCUGUAGACCGGAAGGCUGGUGGUUCG